CCUACGGGAGGCAGCAGUAGGGAAUCUUUCACAAUGGGCGAAAGCCUGAUGGAGCAACGCCGCGUGCAGGAUGAAGGCCUUCGGGUUGUAAACUGCUUUUAUAAGCGAGAAAUAUGAUGGUAACUUAUGAAUAAGGAUCGGCUAACUACGUGCCAGCAGCCGCGGUCAUACGUAGGAUCCGAGCAUUAUACGGAGUGACUGGGUGUAAAGAGUUGCGUAGGUGGCAUAAUAAGUAGCUAGUGAAAUCUGGUGGCUCAACCAUUCAGACUAUUAGCUAAACUGUUAAGCUCGAGACCGUUAGGGGUAACUGGAAUUUCUAGUGUAGGAGUGAAAUCCGUAGAUAUUAGAAGGAACACCAAUAGCGUAGGCAGGUUGCUGGGACGGUUCUGACACUAAGGCACGAAAGCGUAGGGAGCAAACGGGAUUAGAUACCCGAGUAGUC
rnacentral:rRNA from 1 species